AAUUUCACAAACUCAUUCAAGUAAAAAGACGAGUAAUCUACAUGUCUCCCUCUCUCAGCCAAAAAUUGAAAAAGAAACUUUUUUCAAAGAAAUGUCAAAAAAAUAAAAAGACUACUUGCUAGCAAUGCUUUCCUUCUCAAAUAUGGCAUUAAGUAGAGCAGCAACCUCUCUUUGUAUUCCCCGAGGUAUCAGCAACGUUAAUAGUGGUCCCUUGACCAGGAAGUGUAGAACUGCCAGCUGCUUCCUGUGCUGCCAAUGCCUUUUUGCUAAUUAUGUGGUAGAUCUCCGUCAAUAUGGUUUGGAAUGCCUUCUCAAUAUUGGUUGCUUCCA
rnacentral:misc_RNA from 1 species